GGUUUGUUGAUGUCUAUUGUUUUUAUGUUUCUGUUUGGUCAGAGCAUUUUCAUGUGGAAACUCCCAUCUUCUGCACAAAUAUAUUGCACCUACAUGGUCUUAGCUAUGUUUCUAACCAUCUUUUGCCUGGCCAUACCGUAACUCUCACUCCUGCAUUCUUAUUCCUGAUUGAAGGCAGUGCGACAUGGUAGAGCUCUUGUGCGAGUAUCAUUCAACAGUAAUCUGCAGAAGUCGGACUACAUUAUGGUAACGGCUGAUCCUCUUCAAAUCCUGGAAAUAUGUGCCUUUAAAAGCAGAUAUUCCUUUCUUUCAUAGGAUAUUAGAGUGUUGAAAUUGUACAAGAAAACUGCAGGAAAAUGUUUACUUUUGCAUGAUUAUGUCCUGAAAAUAGCUUGCCUCUAUAAACUGCAGUAAUUCUAGAAAUUAUUCAAAACACUAGUCCAGUCAUUUUUGCUUAAAAACCCUAUUCUCUUUGUAGCAUUUUUCUUCGCUCACCAUACACAUGUGCACACAUGUAUGCACCCAUACAUGCGUUUGACUUUUUUGAUUGUUUGCAGACACCUGCAUAGUGGUGCAAGAUUAGCACCAAACACUAGAUGUCUAGAACUAGGAUAUUGUUGAGGACAAUACAGUUGAAUGUGUAAGGAGAGGCUUCUGUUUGUGCUAGAUGACACAAGCAGCAAACGAUAGAGGUUUGGAAUUCUUUAAGUGAAUGCUGAAGCCAGAUCUAAUGGCUGAUAGUUAUUUGUUGCAAUUAUAAAUUAAAACCUUAUAAGAAAUUUAUUUUUGAAUCACUCAGUUCUCUGUGUCUGAGAUUGUUUUACUUUUACAUGGAUAAUUUUAGUUUGGGCUGCAUGUGAGCUUAUUUAUGAUUUUCUCUCUGUUCCAAUGAGUUUAUAAUAAUUCUAGAUUAUGUUUAAAUAAGUCCUCAAUUUAUUAUUUUUUUUAUUCUGCUUUCAGUGCAAGCCUUUUCUGGUAUUUUUUAUGUAGUCCUCUUUGCAAUUUAAAAUCACUGUUAAAUUGUGAAUUUCUUCAGAAUGCAGUUGGUUCUCAUUUAUACCCUCAGAAUCCAGUCCUCCGCCUUGGAAGUCAGCUCAACUUCAGUGUAGAAGGUUGGUGUAUGAUAAAAUUUUACAUUAAUUUUUAGUUGGUCACAACUAAAACUCACAAAUCCAUUUCGGAAAUCUAGAUCUAAAAGACAACAUUGAAUUAAUGUUUAAAAAGCCAUACUAAUUGUAUAUGUCAGGUAGAAAUCUUAGUCUGAAAUUGAUGAAUAAUUCAAAUGCUAUUUUUUUUUGUCUGAAAUCUAUACUAAACCAUUGGAACAGCUUAGCUCAGCUAACUCUAAUCCUUAAGUUGGAUAUGCCCAGUAGUUGCAGGAAUACCAUCAAGGAUUUAUCCGUUGGGUUAAGCUUGAAAGCUCAAACAUUGAGUGUUUAUAUUUAAGAGCUUCUUCCUUCCAUGCUAUUGGAGAAUAUAGAGAAGCGGUGAAGGAUUAUGAUGCAGAAAAUUACAAAUUGUAUGAAGAAGUUGGAGAAGGUGUCAGCGCCACUGUUCACCGGGCUCUCUGCAUUCCUUUGUGUUGACUGGGAUUUGGGAAUGUAUCCUGCUCAAAAUUGUCUUUGUCGUACAUGAACCAAUUAUGAUUAAUUGAAUACGAAUCCCUAUUCUGCAGUGUAAUGAUGUGUAAUAUGCUUGACUAUUCCAUUGCAUCUGCAUGUGCAAGCAAAUGACUUAAUCUAUUUUUUCUUUUUAUUUUUUGAUUGUGUUUGUUGUUUGAUUUUGAUUCAGACACAAUCAUGUAAUGUUUAUUUAGUCAAUAUAUUGAAGUAGCUGUAAAAUUUUAUUCA